rnacentral:rRNA from 1 species
UCGGGAAUAUUGCGCAAUGGAGGAAACUCUGACGCAGUGACGCCGCGUGCAGGAAGAAGGUUUUCGGAUUGUAAACUGCUUUAGACAGGGAAGAAACAAGACAGUACCUGUAGAAUAAGCUCCGGCUAACUACGUGCCAGCAGCCGCGGUAAUACGUAGGGAGCAAGCGUUAUCCGGAUUUAUUGGGUGUAAAGGGUGCGUAGACGGGAAUGCAAGUUGGUUGUGAAAUCCCUCGGCUCAACCGAGGAAUUGCAACCAAAAUCUAUAUUUCUUGAGUGCUGGAGAGGAAAGUGGAAUUCCUAGUGUAGCGGUGAAAUGCGUAGAUAUACGGAGCAACACCAGUGGCGAAGGCGGCCUGCUGGGCACUAACUGACGCUGAGGCUCGAAAGCAUGGGUAGCAAACAGGAUUAGAUACC